rnacentral:rRNA from 1 species
GAUGAACGCUGGCGGCGUGCCUAAUACAUGCAAGUCGAGCGAACGGACGAGAAGCUUGCUUCUCUGAUGUUAGCGGCGGACGGGUGAGUAACACGUGGAUAACCUACCUAUAAGACUGGGAUAACUUCGGAAAACCGGAGCUAAUACCGGAUAAUAUUUUGAACCGCAUGGUUCAAAAGUGAAAGACGGUCUUGCAGUCACUUAUAGAUGGAUCCGCGCUGCAUUAGCUAGUUGGUAAGGUAACGGCUUACCAAGGCAACGAUGCAUAGCCGACCUGAGAGGGUGAUCGGCCACACUGGAACUGAGACACGGUCCAGACUCCUACGGGAGGCAGCAGUAGGGAAUCUUCCGCAAUGGGCGAAAGCCUGACGGAGCAACGCCGCGUGAGUGAUGAAGGUCUUCGGAUCGUAAAACUCUGUUAUUAGGGAAGAACAUAUGUGUAAGUAACUGUGCACAUCUUGACGGUACCUAAUCAGAAAGCCACGGCUAACUACGUG